GAUGAAGAACGCAGCGAAAUGCGAUAAGUAAUGUGAAUUGCAGAAUUCAGUGAAUCAUCGAAUCUUUGAACGCACAUUGCGCCCGCCAGUAUUCUGGCGGGCAUGCCUGUUCGAGCGUCAUUUCAACCAUCAAGCCCCGGGCUUGUGUUGGGGACCUGCGGCUGCCGCAGGCCCUGAAAACCAGUGGCGGGCUCGCUGUCACACCGGGCGUAGUAGAUUUUAUCUCGCUCAGGGCGUGCUGCGGGUUCCGGCCGUUAAAAAGCCUUUUUUACCCAAGGUUGACCUCGGAUCAGGUAGGAAGACCCGCUGAACUUAAGCAUAUCAAUAAGCGGAGGA
rnacentral:misc_RNA from 1 species